AGAAACAAUUUGCAACAAUUAUAUACUGCUCAAUGCACAUAGAGUUGUUGAGCGUUAAGGUAAUCAGAACUUAUAAUGACCUCUUGUCCAUCUUUUUUUGUUUUUGGCCAUAGCAUAUUGUGGUGUCUUUUUAUUAUUGUAGUUUAGAUCUUAGCAGGGGUGGUUUCUUUUGUGGCUAACUUAUUAUCUAAUUGGAAAUUUCCUCUUGUGACAGGAGGUUCGUAUCUCGUUGGCCCAUGAGCACUUUGUUAGAAUUGGUAGACUUCAACUGUAUUGUAGAGGCAACUAAAAUGAUGGACUAGAUCCAAAGGUUGGCAUAUUUCAUGACAUUAUGUUUGUAUUGUGCUUAAAUGAAGACAUCACGAAUAGGAGAUUCGAGAAGGCGCAACAAUGAAGACAGCCCAUGGGGUUACUUGAAGACUCAAGAGCUUAAAAACUAGAGGUAGAGUCGAUACAUGAGAUUUGACUGGCUUCAUCUAGUUCUUCAGGUUGUCUAGGUUAGGAGAUGAGAUCAUGCUUUAGUUUCCUGACUUUAGACUUAGACAACCCAUGAUCAACGUAUAUCAAGCUAUAAUGAGGAGUAAGGGACUGGCAAGUAUGGCAGGCAGCCCUACUACAUUUCUACAAAACUAAUUUUGAUGGAUCACAUGAUGUGAAGUGGUGGACAAGCUUGGGUCUGGUGAUACUCAAGAGGAUGGUGAUGAGCUUGUGGUGGCCAUGGUGUGGAAAAUUUCUUGAAAUCUUACACCAAAAACUACAGACCUUACAGGUGUAACGUAAUAUCAGGAUUGCGUUUAGCUCUGGAUAUGGAUUCCAUUUAUCAAUUCUUGAAACAGAUGUCAAGGAAGUCAUGUACAUUUGCUACAGAACAGAGAGGAAUAUUUAGUGGCUAGGUUUUCUGGAAUCAUAUUGAUCACGCUUAGCUAAAAUUGCUGCCCAUUAGAUCAAAAGAUUUACCCUUUAUUUCUCUGAAUCUAGGAUUUGGGUUGAAGAGCCUCCUUGGCUAUCUUCAACUAAAUAAACAGGAAGGGAGAAUUAUUUUAGGUUUUCUCGGUCAUUUUCUAAGAAUGGUUUGUGACAAGCACAUCCUAAGUUUUACGAUUGGUGAUCCAGUUGCCUUUUAGGUCCUUGUAUGCUGCAUCUCUAUUUGAAUUAUGUGGCGCUUAAAGUCUGUUUACACCCUGGUAAGUUGAUCUUGAUUUAAGGGGCUAGUUGGAGAAAAAGCAAUGAAGAAGGUGAAGAGCAAAAAGGGGGACAACAGGGGACAACUUAUCUCUUGCUACUAUCCAAUAUAUAUACAUAUAUAUAUAUAUAUAUAUAUCAUUCAGUUUUCUCGAUGGGUUCUUGUCUUGCUCAGAUCUCUUCUGGGUUACUGUCUCACUCAGAUCUCGUCUCUGUUCUUUGCUUGGAUCUCUUCUUGGUUCUCACUAUCUUGCUGACCAAUUUUUUUUCAUAAAACUCGUAAGCAUGCUUUCAGCUCUAUUAACUGAAAGUGGGGAAUAUUGAUAUUUACUCUCCAGCUUUAGGGGAGUGUCCUGAGUGUAGGCUGCUAAUCAGCGCAUUCCCUAAAUUAAGAGAUCUGAUUUCUUAUAAUUAGAAAUUUUCCCAGACACAAAUGCAUAAUCCAAUUAUGUAUUUUAUCCAAAAGUAUUUUGAAUCACCCUGAAGUUUAACUGUGAAGAACAUGGUUGGUCUUUAAACUCGAAAGUAUGUAGAUAUUUCUUUUUCUUUUGUAGGCUGAUUUGCAUACUAUUGGAGCAUAGAAGGAUUAUGUUAAACCAUAUAAGUGCACGGUUGAACCCUUCAAGUCUUGUGUUUUAUUGUUGUUCUCAUGUUAUGCCUUUUCAAAGUUUUGUACAUGUAUGGUUUACUUAAAUUUAGCUUUAAUUGAUUGUAAUUUGUAAUCACCAUGAAAUUCGCUUGAUUUUGGAAUCAUUGUCCCUAGUUUAGUUGAUUUUGCCUUGCAAGUUCUGUAUAUACCUCCAAUGGUGAUGAACAAAAAUCAUCCAGUUCUCAAGUAGUCUCCUGGACCACAUUUUGAAUUUACAGAGUCCUGCAGAUCACUCUGUAUAGACUGUAUGUUCUCACUGGGGACACUGCCUCUCUACUUUCAUCAUUCAUCUCUAAUUUGAGAUUAACAACUUGGCCCCUUUCAUUAUUAUUGGGUCUUGACGUGUCCUUCGAUGGAGAUAAAUAUAAUUGUCCAAUUCUGAAUCUUUACAACAUGAUCUUUACUGUUUGAUGAUGUUCUGUGUGCACAGAGGAGAAGCAUCUAUGCCACUAUCAGUGGGGGUUGCCCGGGUGGGUGAGAGACUAUUAUGAUGCCUACUUAUCAAAAGCCGUGUUUGCAUUUACAGCUAAAGCUUCAUACUUCAAAUCUAUUCAUUUGCUAAGUUAUCAUUUAAAUUUUGGAAAUUUGUCCAUCCUGAGCAGUUCUGAAAUGUUAGAAAUCUUUAAUUGGCACCUUGGCUCAGUGUCCCUAAUACUCUCAUGCACACAACUAGUCAAUCUGCACCAUAUCAGAGUGCAGAAUAAUGCAAGGAAAUUACAUA